rnacentral:rRNA from 1 species
GAUGAACGCUGGCGGCGUGCUUAACACAUGCAAGUCGAACGAUGAAGCCCAGCUUGCUGGGUGGAUUAGUGGCGAACGGGUGAGUAACACGUGAGUAACCUGCCCUUAACUCUGGGAUAAGCCUGGGAAACUGGGUCUAAUACCGGAUAGGAGCGUCCACCGCAUGGUGGGUGUUGGAAAGAUUUAUCGGUUUUGGAUGGACUCGCGGCCUAUCAGCUUGUUGGUGAGGUAAUGGCUCACCAAGGCGACGACGGGUAGCCGGCCUGAGAGGGUGACCGGCCAAAGGGGGACGGAGACACGGCCCAACCCCCUAGGGGGGGCAAGAGGGGGGAAUUUUGCACAAGGGGCGAAAGCCUGAUGCAGCGACGCCGGGUGGGGGAUGACGGCCUUCGGGUUGUAAACCUUUUUCAGUAGGGAAGAAGGGAAAGGGACGGUACCUGCAGAAGAAGCCCCGGCUAACUAGGU